rnacentral:rRNA from 1 species
AUGAAUGAUGGAAAGGAUUUAGAGAAAGGAAAAGGGAUUACUUUUGAAGAAAGCGUCAUAAGCUGUAGAUCACAGCGGAAGAUUCCAAAGGAAAUAAAGGUAUGGCCUCACCCCCCUGAAGGUUGGCUGGCAGUAUCUACUGAUGGUUCUUUUGGUACGUGCGAUAAUGGCGUAGGCACAUCAAUGAUUACUAGAGAUAGCAGCGGAAGACAUGCCCUUUCUGCUUGUUGGUUUGUGCCUCACCGCAAAGAUGCGUUUGAAGCUGAACUCCUGGCAAUUAGAGGAGUCCGGGCAGCACUGAUGCAUUCCACGGCACCACUUCAGGUGCAGUCUGAUUGUGCUGCAGUUGUGAAGAUACUAAAAGAGAAGGAUAAGAAUAAGUCAUACCUGGGCCAUGUAGUGGGGGAAAUUAAGGAGAUGUUAGGAGAGAGAGAGAGAGCUUGUCCUUUUAUAUAUUGA